rnacentral:pre_miRNA from 12 species
UGGAAUUCUCCUGGAAUCAGUCUUGCUCCUCGUGUUCACUGUUGGCCUUGAUGUGUCGUAUUGUGGAUCAUAAGGCACGCGGUGAAUGCCAAGAGCGGACUUGCAUCAACAUUAUCAAUUCA